AAAGUCGUAACAAGGUCUCCGUUGGUGAACCAGCGGAGGGAUCAUUACAAGAGCGCCGAAAGGCUGCUUAAAACCAUCGCGAACCUAUCCAUCAGCGUUGCUUCGGCGGGUCGAAGGCGCGGGGUCCCCACGGGCCCCCGCGCCGGGACACACCUCUCCGGAGGUGGGGCCGCCCGCCGGAGGUACGAAACUCUUCCGAAUCUCUAGUGGAUCUCUGAGUAUACAAGCAAAUAGUCAAAACUUUCAACAACGGAUCUCUUGGUUCUG
rnacentral:misc_RNA from 1 species